CCCGGUUUCCAAUAUCUGCAGGCACUGACAACUAAAGCGAAACGCGGCUGACCCGGCAGGCGGAAGCCACAGGUUAUACAACAACUUAUGCUGCCUACCUCAAAAGGCUCCCUCGCCACUGAAUGAAGCAGAAAGAAGGUGGAGGAGAAAGAAACCGAAGCGGUCGAUACUCCGUCUCACUCACUGACUUCCUGCUACUGCAUCUCCUUUUAGGAAGAGCCGCCAACACCCGCCAACUCCUGCUUCAUACCGUCAGAAACGUGAUCGUGCCUGAAGCGUCUGUCCAGGCAGGCGACGAUUGGCCGACGGGAGCCCUCAUCUGCGUAAGAGGUGGGCUGGGAUGCUGCUGCGAUGCCUCUAUUGGCUGAGAUGGACGCCACUCAAGUUGCAUAAGUUUCACGUGUGGAGGCAUGUUUCUCUUACAAGGAUUGGUCUGGAAUUUACUGGCUGUUGCAAAAAUGUUAGUCACUAAGAAACAGAGAAAUAAUUCUUCUGCAUUAAAAGAACCAUCUAAAAUAUGAAAGGCGGUAGAAAUGUCAAAAUUGACAGAAGUGAUGGGAUACAGAGGUGGACCAGCAGUCUGACUCAGUGUACGGCAGCUUCCCAUGUUCCUAGUCGGUAAAAGAUGUGGCCAACCUACUUCUCAUUCCUCUACAAUGACAGAAUCCAACAAUCAUCAAGAGGAAAAGAAAGAGGGUGUUGGUUAGACAUGUCUGGUUAAGAAGGCAGAGGAAGCCAUCUGCUGGUUGGGCUUAGUAUACUAAAUGUACUUUCUGCCUAGGGUACAAACUGGAGAUGUGACAAUGAGGCUGGAGAAGCUCAUUAGACUCCAUAACCGCUAUCUGCUCAUUCAAAUAGAUGCCAGUGGUAUUUAUGAUAUUGAGUGGAUCGUAGGUGACUAUGCAAUAAAUUCAAGAGGGGCAGCUAUGUUAGUUUGUUGCAGUAAAAACAACAGAACUCUGUGUCAUCAUAAAGCAGGGGGAACCAACAUGCUGGCCGAUCCUGCAAGGCGCAAGUAAGAGGCAGUGGGCAAAUAGGUCACUUUUUUAAACCCCUCAGAAUGUUAUCAGCCCCUCUUACAUCAAAAGACAGGGCUUUAAUGGGUCACUAUCCCACCAGCUUCACUUUGACCUCAACCACCUGCCGCCUGUCUGCCUCCUUACUUCGAGCUAGUCAGCAAUGCCUGUCAUAAGCUCUGACUCUACCUACUGUUGGUCUCCCUGCCUUGCACUCUACCAGUCCCAAAUGGGCACCAGCCACCACUGGCCAGUGGAGGUUAGAAAUGUCCUGCGUCCCAUAGAAUUAUACUCUUAAAGUUUCAGAAAAUGGAGAAGGAUGACUGCAGGGCAGAGAGAGAUUGUGAGGGAGGAAUUUUAGCAGCAACAGCACUGGAAAAGAAGGAAGGCACUAGGAAUGGUUGCUUUCCUGUAGAAAGGAGAGAGAGGUGCUCCCGCAAACCUCCCAUCUGAUAAGCUGGGGGCCUCUGGAGCCAAGAGCAAUCUCUUGUCUUUUGAUGUAAGAGGGACUGAUAAUAUUCUGAGGGUUUUUUAAGAGGUUCAGAAAAUGAGAAAUGUUAACUCUCUGGUAUAUAUGUUCUUUAUACACUUAUUCUUUUAAUCUAAGAACCAAAAGGCAUAUCAUCAAAAGCAGUAGAACAGCAGCAGCUUGCAAAGUGACCACCCCAUUUCAUUAAGGCUGUGGGUAUCUGCAGUUUUUGGUAUGAAAUGGAACAUGAAAUCUCAAAGCAAUGGAACACAAGACAAAACCUGAACACAUUGCUUAUUCUCUCCUCAUUUAUAGAAGUAUGUUCUUUGCCCCAAUGUUUUCAGCACUUGUUUUUUAAUUUUUGAGAAAUGCUUCACUCCAUAAGACUGUUACAUCCUUUAAAAAACACACCAAACAAACCCAAGUUUCUAAUUUUAAUGAUGGGAUUGUCACACCCUUUGAGAGUAUAAAAGUAGACUUGCUGAGGAAGUGCCCAGUGGAUCCAGAGUGCCAGCUGACAACAUAUUUUGUGGGUGAUCAACUUUCAUGACAAUCAGAUCUCACUGACACAGAGGUCUCAUAGGCACCUUGUUUUGAAAAUGAUGGCCUCAAUACUAGGGAUGGAAAGAUUUGCCUGUUUCGGUUCUCUCAGUUUCUCAUUUUCCCAAUGUUAAAUUCCGUUCUCCACAUUUCUACAACAAUCUGCGAAUUUUUUUUAAAAAAAUCCUCAUGAAGAUUCUCCACCAUUUUAGUGUGAAUUUCUCCAAAUAAACACAUUUUGGUAGGCAGUUUUGACAAAGGUACUUAUUUUUGCAAGCCAUUUCUCAUCAUUUCAUGCCUUUUUGCAUGUUAUUUUCAUUUUUAUGCACAAUUUCUCCUAAUAUAUAUAUAUUUCUAAAUGUUGUUUAUUUGGCAAACU